UACGUAGGGGGCAAGCGUUGUCCGGAAUCAUUGGGCGUAAAGCGCGUGUAGGUGGCUCGGGUAGUCUGGUGUGAAAUCUUUCGGCUCAACCGGAAGCGGUCACUGGAUACUCUCGGGCUUGAGUCCGGAAGAGGAGAGUGGAAUUCCUGGUGUAGCGGUGGAAUGCGCAGAUAUCAGGAGGAACACCAACUAGCGGAAGGCAGCUCUCUGGUACGUGACUGACACUGAGACGCGAAAGCGUGGGGAGCGAACAGG
rnacentral:rRNA from 1 species